UACAGAGGUCCCGAGCGUUGUUCGGAUUCACUGGGCGUAAAGGGUGCGUAGGCGGUCGGGUAAGUCUGACGUGAAAUCUUCAAGCUCAACUUGGAAACUGCGUCGGAUACUAUUCGGCUAGAGGAAUGGAGGGGAGACUGGAAUACUUGGUGUAGCAGUGAAAUGCGUAGAUAUCAAGUGGAACACCAGUGGCGAAGGCGAGUCUCCGGACAUUUCCUGACGCUGAGGCACGAAAGCCAGGGGAGCAAACGGG
rnacentral:rRNA from 1 species